rnacentral:rRNA from 1 species
UACAGAGGUCCCGAGCGUUGUUCGGAUUCACUGGGCGUAAAGGGUGCGUAGGUGGUUAGGUAAGUCCGAUGUGAAAUCUCCAGGCUCAACCUGGAAAUGGCAUUGGAUACUAUUUAGCUUGAGGAGUGGAGGGGGGACUGGAAUUCUCGGUGUAGCAGUGAAAUGCGUAGAUAUCGAGAGGAACACCAGUGGCGAAGGCGAGUCCCUGGACACUUCCUGACACUGAGGCACGAAAGCUAGGGGAGCAAACAGG